rnacentral:lncRNA from 1 species
UUGAGAAAUAUGCUCUUUUGAAGAAACUGCCAGUUUAGCAUUUCUUCCCCCUUUUUACUUCUCAGCCCCCAGGAGCACCACCAAAUAUUAUUCACUUGGGCUGCCAAGCCAUGGAGCACUGCUAGGCCUGAUUUGGGCACCGGGACUCCUCGACACUCUCAAGCAGGUGGUUGUGCUAAUGAACCUCACACAAACACAGUUCAGACAACUUGAGGGAAAUGGCACUUACUGGACUCACAACCUGGGCUUUGUGACAAGACUUGAAAGGUUUGUUUUCUUUGGGAAAAAGAAAAUAUUUUGGAACUCCCCCUCUCCCCCCUGCCAAGACCUCUCUGGGAUGACUUGAAAGGCCAUACAUGUUAUCCUCCAAAGAAGUGUGACUCAAGAGUCCAAAAAAUUAGUUGGAUUGCCUCUCAGCCAUUGACAGCAUCAGAGCUCUGGACAUAUUACUCCUGAAAAUACAAAGUGCUCUCUGGGGAAAGAAGCAAGAAGACAAACAUCACACCAUCAACUUGAGGUUGGUUUCAAUCAGGGGGACCUUCCACCUCUGCAUCUGCCUCUUCACAGACCCUUGACCCAAUCCAAAAAUUCUCUCCAAAUCUACAAAUGCCCCAGAAGCUGAAGAACAGAUCACCUUUGGCACUUAAAGGGGACCAUCCAAGAGUAGCUAGUACAAUAACGAUUUUUCUAGAUAGAUUUCCAAGAGGACUCUCACCAUUUUGGAAGCAGUGGGGACCAGAAAAAUUUUAGCACAGGUUGCAAGAGCUCUUGGACGUUGUCAUCUCAUUCACUUGAUAUGAAAGAAAGACAUUGCCUUUGUGUACAGGAUGGAAAACAACCCAGGUCCACUCAGCUUGUCCUCAUACAGUUAUUCCUCCAUUCCUCCAAAGGCAUUUACUGAGCAUUCACUAUAUGUACAACACUGAAUUAAAGGCUUAAGAUUGUACAUAGGAGUAACAAUUAGAGACAGUCCCUGCCCACUGAUAGGCUGACAGUCUAAUUGAGGGAGACAGACAACAAUAGCAAUAAAAAAAAUCAAAGGGGUGUACAUCACACUGACAAAAUAACUAGAGUAAUAAAAAUAUACACAAAUGAACACACAAGCACAUUGUUGCAGGAUGGGGA